rnacentral:tRNA from 1 species
AGUCUUAUAUUCAAUAAUGAUAUGAAAUUGCAAAUUUUAAGGUGUAAAUUAUACUAAG